ACGCUGAUACAUUUUCAAAAUGGCGCUCUAUAUACACUUAUUUACUGUGUUCUUUUCAUGUAUUAUAUAUUAAAGUGUGCGUUACUAACUUCAUUAGAUUGUUUUGUGUAUGUUAUAAUAUAACAUAUAAGUGUUGAUAUUAUCAAAGAAACUCAGCGUUAUUUUCGUGAACGAAGAUUCUGAAGAGGAUUGGAUUAACGAUGGUGCCAGGACUCUGAAUUAGGACGUCAUCACAAG